UACGUGAGCUGGGUUUAGAACGUCUUGAGACAGUUCGGUCCCUAUCUGCUGUGGGCGUAGGAUACUUGAGAAGAGCUGCUUCUAGUACGAGAGGACCGAAGUGGACGGACCAAUGGUGUUCCGGUUGUCCUGCCAAGGGCAUUGCCGGGUAGCUAAGUUCGGAAAGGAUAAGCGUUGAAAGCAUCUAAACGCUAAGCCUCCUUCAAGAUAAGGUAUCCCUAUGAGAUGACCUGAAGACGACAGGGUUGAUAGGCUGG
rnacentral:rRNA from 1 species